rnacentral:rRNA from 1 species
CCUACGGGAGGCAGCAGUAAGGAAUAUUGGACAAUGGUCGCAAGACUGAUCCAGCCAUGCCGCGUGCAGGAUGACAGCCCUAUGGGUCGUAAACUGCUUUUGUGCGAGAAAAAACCCCUCUACGUGUAGAGGGCUGAUUGUAUCGUAAGAAUAAGGAUCGGCUAACUCCGUGCCAGCAGCCGCGGUAAUACGGAGGAUCCAAGCGUUAUCCGGAUUCAUUGGGUUUAAAGGGUGCGUAGGCGGAAUGAUAAGUCAGUGGUGAAAGCCUGCAGCUUAACUGCAGAACUGCCAUUGAUACUGUCAUUCUUGAGUACAUUUGAUGUGGGCGGAAUGUGUCAUGUAGCGGUGAAAUGCUUAGAUAUGACACAGAACACCGAUUGCGAAGGCAGCUCACAAAACUGUAACUGACGCUGAGGCACGAAAGCGUGGGUAUCAAACAGGAUUAGAUACCCUGGUAGUCCACGCUGUAAACUAUGAUUACUCGAUGUUUGCGAUACACUGUAAGCGUCCAAGCGAAAGCGUUAAGUAAUCCACCUGGGAGUACGCUCGCAAGAGUGAAACUUCAAAUUGAAUUGACGGGCNGAGACGNGCGAGACGACGACGACGGGAGGAAGG